ACAAAAAACUAAAAUAUUAUUAACUUAAUAAAAUCAUCCACUACAUAGUCAUUCAUUAUCUUUACAAUUAACCAUCUAAAGCUACCACAGUUCUUCAAUCAAAGUAUAUAUCUACAUAUAUAGAGAGUACAGUUCAUAAUUUCGUCCCUUGUCUUCCGUAAACGUAGCACAGAAAUUUGAUACCCUGUAUUGUAAGGCAAGUCGUAGAAGCAGUCUUCCUGCACAUAUUUAAAAAUAAUAACAAGUCAGGAAAAUGAAGCAAAUAGGUCACCAGAUCGAGGCACUUAGUACCAAAAUCAAUACACAAACACAAUAAAGUUGCUACGUGGUACUAAUGUACACCGUAUUGCUCAUUAGCUGAAAAAGACAAAUAGGCAAUCACAAUAUCAUUUGCUACAAAUCCAAAUAGAAAAAGAACCUUCAGUGCGACUAUAUGAUUGCUCUGUUACAAGAGAAAAUUAGAAUCUUAAUCGAUUUCAUGAAUUAAUUUCAGUAAGCAUAGUGGUAAACAUAUUUUCUGUUACAAGACUUGUACAUUAUUAUUAUAUGUUAACCUCAAGUCAGAAUUCAGUCACAUUCAACAACCAUGGUCUUCCAAACCGUCUAGAAAAGCAGAUUUCAUAAUAUGAAAUCCAAUAGAUUAAACAAUAGUCCAGAGAUUUGCAAUAGAUUAAACAAUAGUCUGGUGAUUUGUAGAUUUUGCAGAUUGGUGAUAUUUGCAUUGUUUUAGAGAAGUUCUUAUGUUCAGCAGAUGAUGAUAAGAAGUGAGAAAGGAAUAAAAAGGAAAGUUGCGAAGAUUUAAUUAUAAUUUGUGGCUUUUUUGGAAGCAAAGCCACUAUGAAGUUGAGUUUGAGAUGAAUGUUUGUUUUUUAGUGUUAGCAACAACAUGAUAUAUAUGGGUUGUAUAAAUAUAAUUUUAGGACAAACUGAAAAGUAAGAAAUAAUCUGUCUCAUAGCAUUGAAAGAAUAAAGCAACUAAAAGUGAUGUAGUUUAAGAAAAGCUUGCCUUAUUUAGAGCUGGUUCAAGAUUAGCAGCUCCUUAACGUUGAGGAGGAAAUAUCCAACUUCACUUCCUUAAAUAUAAAGAUGAUGUUAGAGACACACCAUUUUAAUGAAUACUAGAUGUUGGAGAAGUACUGUAAUAAUGACGUAAAUUUGACAUGAGUUGCAAAAAAACAAGACCUAAAAAUUUGUACAAAAAGGAUAUUGUAUUUUUGUUCACACAAGAGAGUUAAAUACUACAUUUUUUUUUGUUAAAUAAAUACAACAUAUUUCCAGCACAACAAGAAGAAUAUUUUUCACAUAAUUUUAUAAAAUAUGAUCAAACUCCUUUUUUAAGAGGCUCAAUUUCGUUACAUCUCACGGUCUUCCAAAAUUUUUAUAUUUAACAAAUGUUACAAACAUGAGAGGCUUGUGCAUCGAUAGGAUUAGAAGAAAAACAAGCACCAAAAAGGAAAUAUUGGAACCGAGCUUCACAAUCUGCUUGACUAGGAGGAAGUGCAUCAUGCAGUUACAUGUGUUAAAGUAAUUUAGAAGUAACACUUCAAAGGAAAUUUCGACCAAAUUUAGAAAUUCAUUUCAAUUCUGAAUGGAAUGGCAGGUUACACAAACUUGGACCACUAGCCUUGAAAUAAAAUUGAAAACUCAAAAUAAAGUUAGGCUGGAUAUCUGGCCUGAAUCCUCAAAUGAAUACAGUACUCCAUAAUUACUUUAGUACAGAAUAAUGACCCAGUAAACAACAAGUAAUUGAAAGUUGUUAACAGUGUUAAAAAAUUGCUUAUAGAUAUGCCAUUAUUAUGCAAAAUUGGACAAUUUUAAGUACUUCAUUAAUGACAAUGAAACUAAAGAUUACUAAAUUUUGAUAAAAUAAAUUUUCUGAUGUUCAAGUUUACAUGCGAUGUGUCUUUGCAAAUUGAAACCUCGUGGAUGAAAGGGACAUCACAUGUAACUUGAAGGGAGCAAAGUUUUUUAACCGUGGAUUUUCAAGUUCAAUUUGGACGCAUGUUAACCUUGCCCAAAAGAUGAUUACCAUAAAACAUUUUAUCCUAAUGAAAAAAUAAAUAACUGAAACCCGUACCGUUUUGUGUUAAAGCAAUGCUUGACCAAAUGAUUCUCCUGAGGUAAGAAAAGAGACAACAUAUUCUGUUUCAUGACAAUCAUCAGGCAACAAAGGUCGAACUCUGUAAAAUACAUGAAUAUUCCCUUUCAGUUCCUGUAGUAGGAAAUAAUUAGUACCAAUAAAGUAAAGAAGCAUGGUCCAACCAACAAGAGAAAAUAAACUUACUAAAAUUGUAUUAUGAAGUUUCUUUCUCAACUUUUCUCCCUCAUUAAUUUGAUAUUCUACAUCCCCAAGUCGCUCAUGUAAUUCACUCACAACUCAUUUUUGCUCUUCAAAUUCAGUCCUUAUUUCAGAGGUGGAUAAAUCAGCCAUCUAUAAAACCAAAUAAUAAGCAUAGAUAAUCAUAAAGUGUCACAUAAAAGCACACAUCACAAAAAGAAACAUAACCAUUUUUUUUGGGACAGAAAGUAAUUGUCCACUGUAGAGUUGCUAAAGAAAGUUGAAAUACUAGGGACACUUGAUUAUGAGAUCAUGUACUCUAAGUUAGCAAAAAGUUGAGAUUUAAUUGCUUAUUCCAAUAGUGAUUGGGCUGAAAUUGUUGAUGACAUAAAGAGCACUUCUGAUUAUAAAGAAGGAACAAAAGGUACCUGCACAAUACCUAUGUUCAAUUGAAUAUGUUGAGGCAAUUUAUCAAGCUAUGUGAUUAAGGACAUUGCUUAAAGAUGUAGGUAAGAAGCAAAAUAAAUGAACAUUUCUUUUAAGCAACAAACAUUGAUACGCCAGAGAAAAAAAUGUUAAAAAAAAAUAUUCUAACGAGCCAUGAAAAACUAAACAUAUUGCCUUCCAGUAUCAUUUUAUCCAAGAAGCAUAUGAAAGGUAGAAUUAUUAUUAGCUAAAAAUAGGAGAAAGAGAAUAAUGCUGUAGCAUUGCAAGUCACAAGACCAAUGUUAGCGUAUGUUUAGUUACACGAUGUUUGGAACAUUUAGUGUGUUUAGAGGGUUUUGUUAAACCAUGUUUGGAAUGUUUAGUGUGUUUAGAGAGUUUGAAAGUCCAAACGCACUUAAAAAUCUUGUUAAUCUACAAACACCUUAAUUAACUUACAAACACAUUGUUUAAUACUCAAAUGCACCGGACCAAAAUUGAUGUUAUGUGUUUGGACUCUAAAUACCGCAAAUGCAACUAACCAAACAAACCCUUCGACAGCUCAUUGGAUUUAUGAAACAAAGGGGGUAGCAUUGAAAAUAAUGCACUUUCUUAGUCAUAGUUCUCCUAAUUAAGCUGAUAGUAAUGGGUUUAUUCACUUCAUAAUCUGAAGGAGUGCCUUCCAGAGAAUAAUGUAUAUAAAAUUAGUGCAAUUCUCUGCAUAAGCCUAGAAUGAUCUAUUACUUUUAAUAUUAAUGGAAAGUUUCAAUUUGAAUCCUUUUUCUCUUCGUUUGUUAUUGAGUUUGCUACAGCACCACAUCAUCAAUUAAUCUUACACUUCAAUUCAAAUUUAUAAGUAUCACUACUGUUACCAGGCCUACAAGAAGCCAAUCAAAUUGAAAGUUUGGUCUGGGAAAAAAAUGGCAACGAAGGAACGAAGAAAAAGAUAUCAUAUCAAAAUAAAAUCAUCAAGCACAACUAAAAAAUAAAAAUAAAAAUAAAGUCCUAAAUAGUAAACACCCAUAUAUAGAUAAAUCCACAUAAGUAGAUAUAAAUUCAUUGACUAAAGUUCAAAAUAAACUCAAUUUAUAUACCAUCCGAGCCCAAUUGGUAGAAAAAUUACCUAAAAAAUUUUUGGAGUCGGCGACUGGCGAGUGAAGAGACGACUGAAUCCUUUGAAGAGAAAUGAGAAACGAGAAAUCAGAAGAUGGAUCAGUGACAAUGGCCGGUGGGACAGGAUGGAUCGGAGAUGGUUGGGAUACAGAGAAUGGUUUGAGCUUUCGAGGAUGGAUCUGAGAUCUAUUUGGGGGAAUAAACUAAAACUGUGAAAGGAUAAGAAAAUUGAAAUAUUAUUUAUGUAACUAGUCAAACUGGCUCGGUUGUAUAAUGAUGUAAAAUAUUAAUAAAUGAAAUUAUG
rnacentral:lncRNA from 1 species